GACUGAUGCAAAGGAAGCAGAACCAACUAUAGUCCUUGUCCUCAGCCAGUUUGUAUUUCCAGUUUGUGUGAUUGCUGGAGUUCUGUUGUUUGUAUUUUACAACCCCACCACAAGAAUGAAGAUAAAAGCUUUCUAUGAUGUGCCAAGCCCAGCCCCCUUUUUCCAGCCUCUGUA